CCUAUUCUCGACUACUUGCACU
rnacentral:miRNA from 1 species